GCUUCAGGUCCUCAAAGACCCUUUUCUGGAUGCUCCAUCUAAAAUUGUGCCAUGCAUGUCACCACCACUCCCUAGCUGUUCCAGUGUUUUUCAAACUGCAGGCUGCAAUCCAUUCCUAGACUGUACAACCUAUCUAAUGUGGCCCAUAACCAGCAUCUUCUACAAUAAAACAGAAGAGAAAAUAUCAGAACACAUCAUGUGUAAUAAAGUGCCCACAGAGGAUGGACACUGUUCAGAUGUCUUCACUGACAAGCCAGCCAGGAGGCAUCAUCUUCCAGUGUCAGCUCCAGGCACUCCGGAACAGCUGUCCCUGCAAGGGGAACUCUGUCCUCUGAGGUGGAGGGCACUCAUUCCAGCGCGAUGAGACACUAAAGCAACCAUGCAGGUGUCAGAACGUGAAUGAGCUGCUCAGGAAUGGUGACAGGCCCCCUUCCAGUGCGGAGGGUCUGAUUUCCCCCUCCCUUUCCCACUAAGGUGCAGUCUAGCUGGAACCACAGGAUGACUCCUGUGGGCUCCUUCCUUCAUGAAACUAACAUGAACGCACGUAUUUUACAACUGCCUUGGUAUAGAGACAAAAGUCAAUAUAUCAUAAAACAUUUUCUUUGACCUAAAAGUUCAUUUUUUUUCUGAUUUUAAAAGAAAUUAAAAUACAUUCAUGGGACCCU
rnacentral:lncRNA from 10 species